GUGGAUUCUGUGGAUCCUGUGGGUUGCAGGGUGGGUCCUACCUAGACCAGGCUGAUCCUGGACCAUCCCACAGAUGCUCCAUCAGAUCUGGAUGUGGGGAGUGUGGAACCCAGAUGUUCAGAGGGAGAUGAUGCCACAUCUGGUCCAGCUGAUGGAAGGUCUUGAAGUUCUCUGACUGGCCUCGACUGAAGAUGGUCGUCUCACUGGAUUUAAGCAUGUUGGAGCAAAACAACCAGAUGAAAACUGUGAUGGUGUUGGAUUGUCAGACUGUAAUGUGCAACAUUACGGCCUGAUCAGGAAGCGGGCGAGCUGCUCCAUGAACCGGGACGAGGGGGUCUACACCCUCUCGCAUACCUGGGAUUCCAUCCUCCAGAGACCACCGGACGGCGGGGGGCGUGGCCAGUCUGACAGAUUCUGACAGAUUGGUCAGACCGGUCCCAUGAUAAAAAAGGACACGUCGGAUGACGCUCUGAAGAAGACUGCAGUUGAAACAUGUCAGCUAAGGUAAAACCAUCUUUACUUUGAUUUGUCGGUAUAAAAUAUAACGUUAUCCUAUGAAGUCCCAUCUAGUUUUUAUGAUGAAUGUGAUGUUUUAAUUUCUCUGUGAAUAACUGCAGUCUAAUGCAACAGCUGGAGUUGUAACAUCUGUCCUGAUAUUGAUCAUGAAGUAUUGAUCAGAAUACUUAUGGUCAGCAGUCAUCCCUGAAGUUUUACAUUAAAAUCUUUACUUGUGUUGUGAACUUUGGUAAGAAGCAGAAACGUUAGCGUUGCCAUGGAUACAUGAGUGUUAAAUUCUGUCCAUGUUUCCAUUUUGGG
ensembl:lncRNA